GCCCCCGUAGCUCAGGGGAUAGAGCAAUGGUUUCCUAAACCAUGUGCCGGACGUUCGAAUCGUCUCGGGGGCACCA
rnacentral:tRNA from 1 species